rnacentral:rRNA from 1 species
GACGAACGCUGGCGGCAUGCCUAAUACAUGCAAGUCGAACGCUGAAGCACUCUGCUUGCAGAGUGCGGAUGAGUGGCGAACGGGUGAGUAACACGUGGGAAAUCUGCCCUAGGAGUGGGGGAUAACAUUCGGAAACGGAUGCUAAUACCGCAUAUCUUUUUGAACCGCAUGGUUCUUAAACGAAAGACGGCUUCGGCUGUCGCUCUUAGAUGAUCCCGCGGCGUAUUAGUUAGUUGGUGGGGUAAAGGCCUACCAAGACCAUGAUACGUAGCCGACCUGAGAGGGUGAUCGGCCACACUGGGACUGAGACACGGCCCAGACUCCCUACGGGAGGCAGCAGUGAGGAAUAUUGGUCAAUGGCGAGAGCCUGAACCAGCCAAGUAGCGU